UUUAGGACAGGCAAUUAUCUUCCCACUUUCUCCUAUAUUGAACAUCGAAUUAGAUUGUUAAACAGUCACGUGUUCGACGGAUCUUCUCAACUGUUACACGAGGAUCGUCAACUCGAGAAGCCACAACUGAAGUGCUCUUGACGAGAAAAGCCGGUUCUACGCGCGGGGAAUUCUCCCGACGACGGAACAACAGAGGGUCGUCCCAUAAAAAUACGAGCGAGGUGCGAAGUGAUCGACAAUGUUUACAGCGGAGACGACUCAAUUAUCCCGGCCGCGACGUAACGCACGGAAGCGAUAAUUAAUAAAACUCGUUAGGCGAAUUGAGCGCGAUGCAUAUUCAACCGGCAUACAUAUCCGGUAAACCGCGUGUCGGGUUUUAAUAUACAGUAGUUAAUCUAAGUGCCUAUUGUUUCAAGGCGCGGACGCUAUCGCGAUGCUCGUCCGCCGUAUUACGAUGCGCUGCACGACCAUACAUGGAACGUGUAUGAUAGGAACAGAAGUAUAUCGGAUAAAAUCAAUCUGUCGAAAUGAUGCGAAAAACGUGCGGAAAUAUUCCUGCCGGUUGAGAUGAAUGAAACAUAUACGUAGGAAGCGCUUCGUAACGCAGGAAAAUAGCUUUUAAAGGAAAUGCUCGUCGGCUAUGGAUUCCCGGCAACGAUUUCCCGACGUAUCCGUAUUAUGAUCAAACGCGGUAACAGGAGAAACAAAUCCAUCGCACCGGCGAAUAUUGAAUAAUUCAACUGACUAUCCUUGGUCGGGCGUCUGCAAGACAGAAAAGAGAGAGAGAAAGAGAAAAACGAACGAGUUAUGUCACGCGAAAAGGAAUAGUUGCAGCGAAACAUAAUAUGCGAAUCGCUCAGUUACAUAAGCUCGAAUAGUUGCAUUUCUGUCAUGUGCCUGCCCGGUAUUUCGAGAGACAGAUAACCGAUUAGCGUCGUGGAGAAUACACGACACGCAAAAGAGAAAAUGUCAGACAAAAUUGUUUAUUCUAAAAAAAGUAUAUGUAUAUAUACAAUAUAUGUACAAUAAUGUCGAGCUUGCGAUAGACUACACGAUUCGUGUCUACGUCGUCUUUUACAACAGGCACGUAUAAAAACCGCGAUAAGCGUAAAGCAUAAAAGUUAAACGUCCAGUUUUAUGGGUCAGAUAUAUAAUGGAACCACCUUCUCUCCUCUCUACAUUAAAAUAGAGUUUCGUAUGGCCAAAAAGAAAAAAAAGGCAGUAUCGCGCUCGACAGGCGCGAAACGCCUUGAAUAUCAAUAUCGAAUCUGGGAUGCAAGGUGCGUACAUGUAAUACACGUUCCAUCGCGCUUGUCAGGUAACUCGACUGCACGGCCGCAUAGAUUUCAGGCUAAUGAAAUUUAUUAUCGGCUGCACGCGACGUUAAUUCUUACUGGGGUGUAACAUAUGUAAAAAAAAAGCACUGCACAAAAUUGUUCUAUCGCGUGCAGCGAGGUGCUUAAAAGAGUUACGUGCUAUUUGCAACCGUUUAUGACUCAAACCAUUUAUGCCUCCAAUAUCUAUGAUUCAGAGAAAAUGCGCGUCUUUUCCGAAACUCUACGUACGUACUAUCACGCGAAAAUUUGUUAAAUAAAAUUACAUCGUCAGUAUCGUAAGAAUAAGAAUUAUUCGCGAUUGAUAAAAAAGACUGUUUUAGAAAUUUUAUUAUAAAUAAAAAUUCUUUGCUUCGACAGUCACGUUUUAUGUUAUGAUAUCUGUACAAAAAGCUUACGUCGAUACUUGAAUGGUGCACUGUAAAUAGAUAAUUAUUUUUCGAAAGGCAUGUUUUACUUAUAUCUUUUAGUUCUAGACUGACGAUUGCCUCGUUCCUUGCAUAGCGAAGUGGCUGAAAUUCUAUCCGAAUUCACGUUUAUCAAAGAAACGCAAAGCAAGAUAAAUAUUCUAGAAUGCAAAUAUUCUCUCGCGCUCGGCCAGCCGCGAAGAAAACCGAGGAAAAGAAACCUCAAGAAGCCUCGUUACAUGACGACGAUAUUCAACAUACAUACAUAUAAAAUAUCUCGGAAUGCCCGAGGGAGAUAGCAGCGCGGUGCAACCCGUGUUAAUUUCAAUAGAUUAUGCAGUCACGAUAAUUAUGUGGUUCAUACGCAUUUCAAGGCCGACUCAGAAGUAUAUGUUUAUAUUGGUGUUUUUCGAACUCCGGCUCGUGAUUCACUAUCGGAGAGCCUUUGUGCAAGCCGCAGACCACAGUCCACGUCGCGUACGUUUCACCAGGAACGACGUGGCUUCAUUCGCACGUGGAAAGCCUCAUUUAUCGACAAAAAAAAAUAGACGUUUUCCCAUAUCCGUGAUGCGAUUGUAGCCCGUGCGAACACGACCGUGAGCUUCGAAGGAUCGAACAAUAACUGGAAUAACCGCGAUUCUCAUGGCUUCCAAUAAAUAGGGCGAAAAUGAUGUUUCCAUGCGAGUGAUACUGCGAAAAAUACACUAAUUCCUUUUUAGAAUUUUUAUGAUAAAAUAUAUACGUAUCUUCCCAGAGAGAUGAUUUUCCGUACUUUCCUCUAGAUUUAUCAUGUAAUAAGUAAAAAGUUGUAUAAAAAUGUGAAAUGUAUAUUAAUUUAUACAAGUUUUUAAGCUUAACAGACGAUCUUUUCUUUUCAGCCAAGAAAGCCUAACAUCCGAGGAUCUCAAACGAAUGCAAUAACUACAAUCAGAGCGAAACAUUUCGUAUUUGUCAAGUACAUUACACACUGAACGAGAAUGCUCCGCGUGGCGGAGGAUCCACAAGAUUGUCUAUGAGACGAGAUUCACGAUCGCCGGUUUUUCGCGAAAGGCGUUUUAAUGCGAGGCUCGUGCCUCGUGCCUGCUCACAUGCCUGGCCGGCACGCACCGCUAUCCUAUUAAUAUCUCGCGAGAGAGCGCGUAAAAGGGCGCAAAUGCGAAAGGCACGGGGGAAGAGGGAGGCAGAGUGGCAGAGAGCCGGCGACGCAGAGGCAAACGGGUGCGUGCCCGGCAAACGCGCUCGUUAUUGCGCGCUCUUUAACAGUACACGUUACUGUACCGUGACCCACCACCGUUUUCCAUCUGACGUUGCCCCGCACACAUGACUCUCCGGGGGACAAACCUCUCUUCCUCCACGCGCGGGACGUUUUCUUCCCGGCUCGCGAGAACUUCCGAGCACGCGACGCGGACGCGCGGUCGGAAACUUUUGCGACAAACAACGCGAGACGAAUCGCGAGCCGCGAGGGACACCUCGCGUGUCUGAUCGCGUUGACAGUCCGGAUUAGCUCGCUGAUGCACAAACGGUACCACGGGAACUCGUUUUUAUUUCAUUAGUCCCUCCUCCAUCACUGUAAUACGAAAGAUAUCAUCGGGCACGAAUUCCUGAAGCAAUUUUAAAUAAAUUCCCUCUUCACGAAACGGCCAACACUAUCGAAUCUUGUAAUUAAAAGACAGUGACGGCGGAGGAAGGCUAAACGGAAUCACACAUGUCCUCCUAGCCACAAAGCCAUAUUUUAUCGUGUCUUGUCACAUCUGUCUUCAAAUCAAUUACUUCUCAAUGUCAACUGUCCCAUUAUGUGAUAAUGAAAUAAGCGUUAUUAACAGAUCUGAAAAUAGGUACCGCAUAAAAUUAAUAUGGGGAUAGCAGAUUGUUACACGUUUAAGAUUUAUAUAUUAUUCUGAAACAAAUAAAGUCCCGUCAUAAAUCGC